GGGAACCACGCGUAAUGAGCUAAGUGUUAGCGGCAAUUUUGAACCACACGCGCACAGGAUGGACUCGUUAGUGAGACGGCGUUUUGCGCACCGGCAACGGAUACUGAAUGUUUGGAAAGACGCUUGGACAGAAAGAGCAGAUAUAUGACCAUAACUGUCCGGUGGAAGCAAGUGAGGCGAAAUGGAGCUGUCUAAAAUAAAAUCCAGCAAUAAAAUCCAGCAUAAGUGUGGGCGUUGUCUCUGACUGAGAAUAAUGCUACGAAAAGAAAAAAGUUGGUCGAUUAUAAAAGGCUUGCAGCAACUAUUGGCCAAAUUCCUGCCUCUCAACCAAGCCUACUCUCAGCAAACGUGC